GUUUAAUUCGAUGAUACGCGAGGAACCUUACCUAGGCUAGAAUGUGAGUGACCGUUCCUGAAAGGGGACUUUCCUUCGGGACACGAAACAAGGUGCUGCAUGGUUGUCGUCAGCUCGUGCCGUGAGGUGUUGGGUUAAGUCCCGCAACGAGCGCAACCCUUAUCGUUAGUUACCAGCACGUAGAGGUGGGGACUCUAGCGAGACUGCCGGCGUAAGCCGCGAGGAAGGUGGGGAUGACGUCAAAUCAUCAUGGCCUUUAUGCCUAGGGCGACACACGUGCUACAAUGGCCGGAACAGCGGGUAGCGAAACUGUGAAGUGGAGCCAAUC
rnacentral:rRNA from 1 species